rnacentral:rRNA from 1 species
AUUGAACGCUGGCGGCAGGCCUAACACAUGCAAGUCGAGCGAGGCGGGGAGGGGUGAGUAAUGUAUGGGGCUCUCCCCGAUAGAGGGGGAUAACUACUGGAAACGGUGGCUAAUACCGCAUACUAGCCGAUAAACCCAUAUGGGAUUAGCUAGUAGGUGGGGUAAAGGCUCACCUAGGCGACGAUCUCUAGCUGGUCUGAGAGGAUGAUCAGCCACACUGGGACUGAGACACGGCCCAGACUCCUACGGGAGGCAGCAGUGGGGAAUCUUGCACAAUGGGCGAAAGCCUGAUGCAGCCAUGCCGCGUGUAUGAAGAAGGCCUUAGGGUUGUAAAGUACUUUCAGCGGGGAGGCGUUACCCGCAGAAGAAGCACCGGCUAACUCCGUGCCAGCAGCCGCGGUAAUUC